UUUCAUUCUGUUUUGGAGGAGUCUAUGGGAUUUCUGGGGAAGGAAGAGAGGAGAAAUGCCCGUGGCAGUGGUUCUCGGUGCAGUCCUGACCAUCAUCAUCAUCAUCAUCAUCAUCGGGCACCUGUAAGACAUACAGAUCAUCAGGCCUCACCCCAGAACCAGAGGCAACGACUCUGAGCGGAGCCCAACUCUCUGUGUUUCCACAAGUCCCCCAGGGCAGUCUGAUACUCACUUAAGUCGCAGAACCACUGCUCCGUGAGACCCCUCUCAACUAAAGUCGAGAAAUGACUGAAAGAUCUGGAGGAAUCUCCAGAGGAAAGGAAGCCACAGAGAAAAGGAAGCCAAGGACCUGGGCCAUCCACAAACCAGAUCACUAGCUCCAAGAUAAUUAAGGAUAAUUGACUAUAUGUGUGGCUAUAUCCAGGAAGUCCAGAAAGAGAUGAAAGGCAUAGGAAAUGAUGCAUAAGUAGGAGUAUUUGCAGGGAUCUCUUCCUUGCCAUUCACUCAACAAGCAUUACUGAGCACUUACUGUAUGCCAGGUGCUUUCAAAAAGGGGGUGGAUACAGCAAUGAAUAACCCAGGCAAGACUGCUGCUGUUAUGGGGAGGAUCUCUUGAAUGGCGAAGACAAACAAUAAACAAGAACACGAAUACACAAAGAGGAUAACUUCAGUAGCACUCAGCACUGUGAAGUCCAUAAACCCAGGGAUGCAACUGAGGAGGGCGUGCUGUUUUAGAUAGGGCAGCCUCUCACUGUAUCUGAGCGAUAACCUGCAAGAGGAGAGAGCUCUAUGUAAGUCUGCUAACCAGAACUCACCGAGAAUGUCAGCAGGAAUGAGGUCCAGGUCUGUCCCAGGUCUGUGGUUAUUCAUUUUGUGUCCUUUUGUGGAUAUUCCUAAAACCUCCCCCUGAUUUAUUGUCUCUAUAAUGGGGUUGCUAAUACUGAUCACCUUGACAGCGGUUCUCUGAGGAAUAAUGGGUAAACAAUUGUGUGGAGCUAUAUAAAUGCUAAAUAAUGAUCACAGUAAUAACCUUUUAUUAAAGUCAGUAUCGUGAUAGGCAGCUCACACUCGGACGCCUUGGCAAAUGUGGAAAUCGAUACAGCUGCUCCCUGAGCACCCCAGCACCAUCCUUUAAAAUAGAAAAAAUAAAUGAGCCGAUGAUCAUGAUAUUCAAAGUGGUUAGCGAUCAAAUAACUGUCUUGAGAGAAAGCUGCCAUGUGAAGUGUAAAAUGGGAGUCUUGAAACAAUGGCACAUUACAGCCCAGAGCAGGUAGAGAGCUGGUGAAUGCAACUGGAUGCUUACUGGGACUCACCCUGCUGGCCGCAGGGUGGUAAUUCGAACCUGAUCAGGACAGGCGCUGCCACCACCGAAAGCACUGGCAGACGGAAAGUGGGAUAAGAAAGAGCCAGAUCAGCAGCAUCUCUGCCAGCAGCCCCAUCUGGCCCUCUUGGCCUUGAUACGCUUCCCCCGGGAGGACUGAGAAGCCAGCACCAAGGGGCCCUGCCUUGGGAGGGCACCAAGGAAGUGAGAAAGGGGGGAGGAGAUGACUGAACACUGCACUUUUUCUUUUCUAGAAUAAAAUAUUUUACUGCUGGCAAAGUCUUUGAUUGUUUUCAUACUGGAACUUCCUUACACAAUGAGAUGGGAAUCCAUCCCCUUAGCUGCUCCCCAGACCUCUCCCCAAAGUGUAACAUUAAUGCCACAAAAGCGAAUUCUUUUCUGUGGGUCUUACAGUCUCUUUAUCUUUUUAAUGUAAAUAUGCAUGUGCCUGUCUCCCACCUCACAUUGGCAAUCACACCAAGUGACACGAACACACACCUGCACACAUAACCCCCGCACCCCUGCCAUAUCCUUUGUUAAGCCUUGACUCAGGCCACAUAGCAGAGACAUUUAAACUACUGAUACUUCACUGAAAGUCAGAUAGAAAUAUAAGACAAGAAAAACAAAAACAUUUUUAGGCUGAUACUACACACUUUGCAGGAUAUUGAUGGAGCAAGUCACUUUUCUACUGUGAAACAGGUAGAAUUGAGGUGACCUGUGAGGUGCUAAGAGCUCCCAGUGCAUGCUAUACUUUUUGAGGGUUGCCUGGAGAUUAUGGAGGUUUAAAAGAAGAUGGCAAGAUAGUUCGGUCUCCUAUACUAGUCUUUAUGAUUUCAACUGCGGUGGGAAAGGCCUAAGAUCCUAAGAAACACUAAUUGAUUUUAAUCCAAUGGAAACAUUUUAAAGUGUCAAAUACACUGGGACAUUAUAUUUAAAGCACUUUGAGUAAACAUGCUGCAGGGGACAUAGUACGUGUUCACUAAAUUUUCUGCUGGUAGGUAAGGUAUUUCCAUCUACCAGUGUCUCAGGCUGCUCAAGCCUGAACUAAUUUAUUUAAACAUACCAUUUCUUCAAGUGCUUUGUUUCCCAAAAAUAAGUCAGUGGAGGAAUCUGGGAAGAACUGUCCUCAGGAGAUGUGGUCAUCUUCAAGGCCAAAUCUGUCUGGACUAGGUUUGUUCAUCAGCAAGACUUCCUGAAAGGCUUCCAGGUGUUGUGUGGUGUUUUCAAUGCCUUAUCAAUAAUAGACUGUCAGUAAGGUGGGAGAUGCAAGUCCUAAGGAGGGAGAGUGUCUGCUCGGGUUCUGUGCUUUUAAAUGAAGCUAACCCGUACUCAACCGAAUCCAGUAUCAAACCCCAAGAAAUGGUUCCAACUAGUGUCUUGGACCCUGUAUUUCACUUUGCUCUGGUUUUGGACCCUUUAUUUCAAUUUUUCUCCCCAAGUCUCAAUUUCUGUUUUUACUUACCACUCGACUUUCUUAAUUCCCCUUCUCCUCCCAGCUUCUGGCUCUGUCCUCACGCCUUGGGAUUUGAUUACUAAUUUUGGCUUUUCUGCUUUUCACCUUUGGCACUCCUCUGGAAAUGGUUGAUAUUUAUCUUCUGGCUUUUUCUAUUUAUGGCUACUCAGAAGUUUUGACCCUACUCAGCCAAGAUUUGAUCCCAGGACCUUUCCUUAGCUUAGACCUGUCUCAGUGGCAUCUGUGUGGGGUGUGACUCCUCCAGAUGAGGGCACGGGCAAGAGGGAAGAUCAGGCAAGGGAACAGGAGGAAUACCUGGCUCAGCUGAAAGAACAGGGCACUGAAGCCUCCCUGGUUGUACAUCUCUGCCUCCUUACUCCUCUGCUUUUUCAAAUUCCCUCCUGUCUCUACUCUUUCUAUUUCAAUUUUUAUUAAGUCUCUACCUUCUAAGUGGUCAACCCUUUCUAGUGUCCCUUUGUAAAACUUAAAUGAAAGUGAGAGUAAGUGGUAACCAUUAGCUAAAAUAAGUUUGGUAGCCAGGAGAAAUUGUUGAGUCUCCAGUGUCUUUAUAGCACUCAUCAAAUGCCAUUUCACCAUAGCAGUUUGCAAAAUGCUGGGGCUCUCCAGGUGGUCAGUUGGUAGGUAAGUCAGUGAAUAUCUGUUGAACGAAUGAAUGCAUAUUAGUUGUGUAGCAUUGUAUCAUGUUCUUUAAAUAAUACAAAGUAUAACACUUCAUGCUUGUCUUAAGAAGGACGCCUCAGGCCCAUUCGUAAAGAGACUGUUUUGAAAUGUCACUGAGGGUCAGAGCAGCGUCAUUGCUUCUUCUAGAGAACGAGUCAUUACUGAGUGCGCAACCAGCUUCAUUUGGGCAAAAGGGAACGUGAACAAAGCACUAGUUAUGGCAGAAACAGAUACCUAUAGGCUAAUGAGUUAUAGAAGUUGAAGAUUUCAUUACAACCAGUGAAUUUUGUAUAUGACAUUUUCAUAACUAGCAAACUGCCUAACACGUAGAUGAAUAGAAUGAGCUGAGCAUCCAUAGAACCACUCACACCAAGUGACACAACUUGGCCCCAGAAGCCUUCACUCUCCUGUCUGACAUCAUAAUCUUUUACUUACUUUUCUUUAUAAUUUUAUCACCCUUAUAAACUUCCCUGAAAAGUUUAGUUUUACCCAGUUUUGAAUUCAGAAUUGAUUAACAGACAACAAUAAUUGUAUGCAACAUUGGAUGUGAAAAAGAAAAUUUGUUUUUCUUUUUUAAUAAGGUAUUUUGAAGUGUACAAUUUCUGUUGGUGAUCAAGACAUUUAUGCCUUAUUCCACUUAUGUUUUCUGGCUUCCAGUCACUCUAUUUCUUAAUACUUCAAAGAUAUUCUUCCCAAAGCUUCCUUUGCUUUUAUACUAAUGCUUUCCUGGACUCAAUGGGACUUUGAAGGAUACUGAGCCCAUCAUAAUGAAAAUGGAUGUUGACAUUCCAUGAUUAUCACUGUAAUUAUUCCUAAUUUGUACUUUGCUUCAAAAAGUCUCUUUCUUUGCCCUAUAAAGUCUGUACUUUCAAAAUGGUAUCUAUAGCUUUAAUUAUACCUGACAAUAAACUUUUCUCACCACAAAAUUUGUUUGAUCAUGGACUAUACCCAUCAUUAUCUUCAAAUAUCCUAUUUUUUAAAGUCCCAUUUAUAUCAGACUCCCAAAGAGUUAUAAUAUUUGUAAUGGUGUUUUCUUAACUGUUUCUGUAAUCACUGUUUGUAAUGACUGCAAAUCAAAGUUGUAUGAAUGAAUGGAUACUGGUUGAAUUAUCUACUAAACAGGAAUGAAAU